GGAGCUUGCUCCCUGAUGUUAGCGGCGGACGGGUGAGUAACACGUGGGUAACCUGCCUGUAAGACUGGGAUAACUCCGGGAAACCGGGGCUAAUACCGGAUGCUUGAUUGAACCGCAUGGUUCAAUUAUAAAAGGUGGCUUUUAGCUACCACUUACAGAUGGACCCGCGGCGCAUUAGCUAGUUGGUGAGGUAACGGCUCACCAAGGCAACGAUGCGUAGCCGACCUGAGAGGGUGAUCGGCCACACUGGGACUGAGACACGGCCCAGACUCCUACGGGAGGCAGCAGUAGGGAAUCUUCCGCAAUGGACGAAAGUCUGACGGAGCAACGCCGCGUGAGUGAUGAAGGUUUUCGGAUCGUAAAACUCUGUUGUUAGGGAAGAACAAGUACCGUUCGAAUAGGGCGGUACCUUGACGGUACCUAACCAGAAAGCCACGGCUAACUACGUGCCAGCAGCCGCGGUAAUACGUAGGUGGCAAGCGUUGUCCGGAAUUAUUGGGCGUAAAGCGCGCGCAGGCGGUUUCUUAAGUCUGAUGUGAAAG
rnacentral:rRNA from 1 species